AGAUUGAACGCUGGCGGCAUGCCUUACACAUGCAAGUCGAACGGCAGCACGGGGGCAACCCUGGUGGCGAGUGGCGAACGGGUGAGUAACAUAUCGGAACGUGCCCUGGAGUGGGGGAUAACUAGUCGAAAGAUUAGCUAAUACCGCAUACGAUCUAUGGAUGAAAGUGGGGGAUCGCAAGACCUCAUGCUCGUGGAGCGGCCGAUAUCUGAUUAGCUAGUUGGUGGGGUAAAGGCCUACAAGGCA
rnacentral:rRNA from 1 species